UCUUCAUCAUCUCCUCUAUCCGUUUUGCCUAUUUGCUACAAAAUCAAUCGCAAGUUGCUUAGUUUUGCAGUUCCGAACAUUCAUCCUUGUCUUCUGCAUGCCAUUUGUUCGAUGAAAUGCACCGGCGAAAUGUGAAAUGAUAGAAGCCAAUUGUGGUAACAGUAUAUCGUAUCCCUGCCAUGCCUUGAUUCCUCUCUUCUGCUGUGGUGGAUGCGCUGCCACUGCAGCAUCCUCGACUGCAGGUCUGCAGCGGCUGCAAUUGCAGGGGCGCCGUUGCCUCACGGGACUGGAGAGUGGAGAUCGCUGGUGGACACGGGCCACUGCAAUGUGCCAACUGCCGCAGCCGCAAGUUCCUGCUAUGAUGGCUGCCAUUACAUGCAUUUUGAUGUGAUCCCAUCACAUGCACUCGUACAAACUAACAGUAUAGUUCCCCAUGGUCAUGACCACAAGCCGAAUGGAUCCACAAGAACUUCUCUAUGCAACCUCAGUCUACUAUCAAUUCAAACACCACUGGCCACGUACCAGACGGGAACCUAGAUCCAAGUAAUGUGAAUUGGCGACUAGAAGUUACAACCAACACAACCAUUCCUACCAUAACUGAGCACCUUGUGGGUAUGUGUGGCCUUCUUCUUAAUUACCAUGGCAAAGUAAGUGACUGACCUUACGAAUGUUAUCUGCCAAUGCAUGGGCAAUUAGCUUCAUAUUCUUGUUUCUGACAUAGAUAUCUGAAUAUAUGGAAAGCAUAUAUAAUUAGAUAUUAUUCCAUGCCAGCAUAUAUACUGCAUGGCUUUUAAUUUGCAUCGUAUGAUUUUUAUACUUCAGUUGCAGAUGAUGGAGUAACCAUUGUUCCAUUGAGUUCAGGGUUUCUGCAUACUAUGUUUCUAGGAUUGCUGAUCUUGAAAAGGAUGUCCAGAAACUAUGUAAUGAAAAGAAUAUACUGGUGCAAAAAUUUGAAGAGGCUUCAAGAGAACCUGUGCUGUUUUUACUAUGCAACAUGCUUGAAAUAUUUUUCCUUAUUAUAGUAAGAUCCACCUCUGCUUUGCCCUUCCUCUCUCAUGUAAUCUAAUUGCUUGGUAAUUAUCAUUGAUUUGUUCAAGUUUUGAGCAGUCUGGUGAUCUGGAAACAUAAGGAAAUGAGUUUGAUCUAUUUAGAUCAUAGUAAAAUAAAUUUGAAUCCGAGGCCUCUUGGUUUCUGACAAUAAAUGGGAUCAUCUCAUUUUUAUGGCUGUGCAAA